rnacentral:rRNA from 1 species
GGCGUAAAGCGCAUGCAGGUGGUUUGGUAAGUUGGAUGUGAAAGCUCCCGGCUCAACUGGGAGAGGCCGUUCAAAACUACCAGACUCGAGUCCUGUAGAGGGGGGUAGAAUUUC